AUAGUCCCAACUAGUGUGCCCCAUACUACUAAAUUGUCUUAAUGGUGAGGACAAAUGCGCGAAAUCGUACAUGGACCUUAAGCAGCAUAUCAGGGAUAUUGAAUCGCGUAUUAUU